GCUGGAGGCACAUGAUCACAAUUCUGAAUGAUUCAUUAGGGCUGCCUGUGUCAGCAAUUGGUAGGGAACGAUUCUGAAGGCUGCAGUGCUCUGUGCCGAUGUUUGUGGACAACCCCUGCCCAUCCUUCUGAAAACAAAGAAACCCAUCUCCUCCCUGUGCAAUUUAUAACCAAACCCCUUCCUAAACAUGCUAAUCUUGAUUUAAGAUGAGUGUCCUUGGGCAAUAUCUUUCUCUGACAUCCUCACAUGCCUGAAUUCCUCCCGUCAGACCAAGACCAGUCAGACCAGUCUCUGGACUAGAAGACAGGACAGCAGAAAUUCCAAGAGCCAGGAGCAGGAGCUGAACUGAAAAUCACAACUACUCCUGCUGAGUGGUGACUUGUUCUGUGGAUCUGGUCAACAUCCCAUCAAUUCCCCCUUUGAAUUGAUGUUAAAAAACUUGCACCUUUGGAAAAGUGAUCUGAGGCUUGUGUUUACUUAGAACCCAUCUUGCUCCUUCCCAUUGAAACAGCAGAUCUCAAGUCAUUUUUCAGAGAAGGGUAAGUAUCAUCCCAUAAGUCUCAUGUCAUGAAAACUGAGAAGUCUGCCAUGGGUUACAGCUGCUGUUCAACUCACAUCCACAGCUUACCAAACCACUGAGAAUGAUUAGAAGAAAUACAUUUGUCAUUGACUGUGACUUUGUUAAGAUGGGAAAUUAGACAGUGACAUCUUAUAUUACUAACUGAGAGCAACACACAAAUAACAUAGGAAUAGAAGUGACUAAGAACAGUGCAGUUAUUCAGAUUUGUGGAUGGAAAAUUUUACAGAAGCUUGAAAUGCAUCAAUGAAAGAAAAUGUCACUGACUCUGAGUCUAUUUUAGUAACAAACAUUCUGAGAUCUACUUUAUUUGGCAAUUUAUAUGUAGGGGAUUUA